rnacentral:piRNA from 1 species
CUGGUCCGAUGGUAGUGAGUUAU